CGAGCACGCGCGUGUGGCAUAUCAAUAAGCGGAGGAAAAGAAACUAACAAGGAUUCCCUUAGUAACGGCGAGUGAAGCGGGAAGAGCUCAAAUUUGAAAUCUUCAAGGUUCUACCUUGACGAAUUGUAGUUUAUAGAAGUGUUUUCUGUUAGUGGAGUGGCAAAAGUUCUUUGGAAUAGGACAUCAUAGAGGGUGAGAAUCCCGUAUUUGGUCAUUCCUCCUAGCGUUGUGAUACACUUUCAACGAGUCGGAUUGCUUGGGAAUGCAGUCCAAAAUGGGUGGUAAAUUUCAUCUAAAGCUAAAUAUUGGCGAGAGACCGAUAGCGAACAAGUACCGUGAGGGAAAGAUGAAAAGAACUUUGAAAAGAGAGUUAAACAGUACGUGAAAUUGUCAAAAGGGAAGCGUUUGACACCAGUGUUGUUUUUCCGAAAAUCAAUUACGAAUGUUUUAUUUUUGAGGAGUUAUGACUUCAUCGGCUUGCUCCUUUCUUUACUGAAACUUUCUUAAUGCACUUUUCGGUUAACAAGUCAACAUCAAUUUCUUUUGUUGUAAAAGGGUCAUUGAGGAAGGUGGCUUUCUUUUCGGAGAAAGUGUUUAUAGCCUUGUGCCUUCUACAAUCGGAGAGAUUGAGGUCUGCAGCGUAGAUCCUUCGGGGUUAGAUACAUUUGUGCUAAGUUAUAGCUUUUCAUAGACAACUUGUUGACUAUGUCUAGUCUUGUAGCUUACUCGCUUACGCUAUUUUACCUACGCUUAGGAUGUUGAUGUGAUACUGCGAGC
rnacentral:rRNA from 1 species